rnacentral:rRNA from 1 species
UGAACGCUGGCGGCGUGCUUAACACAUGCAAGUCGAACGAGGCUUGUCGACGGAAAUUUCGGAUGGAAGACGGCAUGACCGAGUGGCGGACGGGUGAGUAACGCGUGGGGAACCUGCCCCAUUCCGGGGGAUACCAGUUGGAAACGACUGUUAAUACCGCAUAAGCGCACGGGAAGGCAUCUUCCAGUGUGAAAAACUGAGGUGGAAUGGGAUGGCCCCGCGUCUGAUUAGCCAGUUGGCAGGGUAACGGCCUACCAAAGCGACGAUCAGUAGCCGGCCUGAGAGGGCGACCGGCCACAUUGGGACUGAGACACGGCCCAAACUCCUACGGGAGGCAGCAGUGGGGAAUAUUGCACAAUGGGGGGAACCCUGAUGCAGCGAACCGCCGCGUGAGUGAGGAAGUAUUUCGGUAUGUAAAGCUCUAUCAGCAGGGAAGAAGAUGACGGUACCUGCACAAGAAGCCCCGGCUAACUACGUGCCAGCAGCCGC